UACGAAGGGGGCUAGCGUUGCUCGGAAUCACUGGGCGUAAAGCGCACGUAGGCGGCUUCUUAAGUCAGGGGUGAAAGCCUGGAGCUCAACUCCAGAACUGCCUUUGAAACUACAUCGCUAGAAUCAUGGAGAGGUUAGUGGAAUUCCGAGUGUAGAGGUGAAAUUCGUAGAUAUUCGGAAGAACACCAGUGGCGAAGGCGACUAACUGGACAUGUAUUGACGCUGAGGUGCGAAAGCGUGGGGAGCAAACAGG
rnacentral:rRNA from 1 species